rnacentral:rRNA from 1 species
GACGAACGCUGGCGGCGUGCCUAAUACAUGCAAGUUGAGCGCUGAAGGUUGGUACUUGUACCGACUGGAUGAGCAGCGAACGGGUGAGUAACGCGUGGGGAAUCUGCCUUUGAGCGGGGGACAACAUUUGGAAACGAAUGCUAAUACCGCAUAAAAACUUUAAACACAAGUUUUAAGUUUGAAAGAUGCAAUUGCAUCACUCAAAGAUGAUCCCGGGUUGUAUUAGCUAGUUGGUGAGGUAAAGGCUCACCAAGGCGAUGAUACAUAGCCGACCUGAGAGGGUGAUCGGCCACAUUGGGACUGAGACACGGCCCAAACUCCUACGGGAGGCAGCAGUAGGGAAUCUUCGGCAAUGGACGAAAGUCUGACCGAGCAACGCCGCGUGAGUGAAGAAGGUUUUCGGAUCGUAAAACUCUGUUGGUAGAGAAGAACGUUGGUGAGAGUGGAAAGCUCAUCAAGUGACGGUAACUACCCAGAAAGGGACGGCUAACUACGUGCCAGCAGCCGCGGUAAGAC